rnacentral:rRNA from 1 species
AUUGAACGCUGGCGGCAUGCCUUACACAUGCAAGUCGAACGGCAGCACGUGAGCAAUCCUGGUGGCGAGUGGCGAACGGGUGAGUAAAGUAUCGGAACGUGCCCAGUCGUGGGGGAUAACGCAGCGAAAGUUACGCUAAUACCGCAUACGAACUAUGGAUGAAAGCGGGGGAGCGCAAGACCUCGCGCGGAUUGAGCGGCCGAUAUCAGAUUAGCUAGUUGGUGGGGUAAAGGCUCACCAAGCCGACGAUCUGUAGCUGGUCUGAGAGGACGACCAGCCACACUGGGACUGAGACACGGCCCAGACUCCUACGGGAGGCAGCAGUGGGGAAUUUUGGACAAUGGGCGAAAGCCUGAUCCAGCCAUGCCGCGUGCAGGAUGAAGGCCUUCGGGUUGUAAACUGCUUUUGUACGGAACGAAAAGGUUUGGCCUAAUAAGCUGAGCUCAUGACGGUACCGUAAGAAUAAGCACCGGCUAACUACGUGCCAGCAGCCGCGGUAA